rnacentral:rRNA from 1 species
GAAGAUGCGAGCGUUAUCCGGAUUUAUUGGGUUUAAAGGGAGCGUAGGCGGGCUGUUAAGUCAGCGGUCAAAUGUCAGGGCCCAACCUUGUCAUGCCGUUGAAACUGGCGGUCUUGAGUUCACACAAGGAAGGUGGAAUUCGUUGUGUAGCGGUGAAAUGCUUAGAUAUGACGAAGAACUCCGAUUGCGAAGGCAGCCUUCUGGGGUGUUACUGACGCUGAGGCUCGAAAGCGCGGGUAUCAAAC